rnacentral:rRNA from 1 species
GACGAACGCUGGCGGCGUGCCUGACACAUGCAAGUCGGACGGUUCUUGUAUCUUCAAGCUUGCUUGCAGGUGCAAGGAUAGUGGCGGACGGGUGAGUAACGCGUGAACAUCUACCCAUUGGAGGGGGACAACCCGUCGAAAGGCGGGCUAAUACCGCGUAAGCCGCGAGGUGAGAGGCUGCCUAUUGGUGGCCGCCGAUGGAUGGGUUCGCGUCCUAUCAGCUGGUUGGUGGGGUAACGGCCUACCAAGGCGAAGACGGGUAGCCGGUCUGAGAGGAUGGCCGGCCACACUGGAACUGAGACACGGUCCAGACUCCUACGGGAGGCAGCAGUGGGGAAUAUUGGGCAAUGGGGGAGACCCUGACCCAGCGACGCCGCGUGAGGGAUGAAGGUUUUCGGAUCGUAAAGCUCUGUUAUCAGGGAGGAAGAAAAUGACGGUACCUGAUGAGCAAGUCCCGGCUAACUACGUG